rnacentral:rRNA from 1 species
CCCUUAGAUGUUCUGGGCCGCACGCGCGCUACACUGACUGGUGCAACAAGUGUCGCUCCUUGGCCGAUAGGCCUGGGCAAUCUUUGAACGCCAGUCGUGAUGGGGAUAGAUUCUUGCAAUUUUUGAUCUUCAACGAGGAAUUCCUAGUAAACGCGAGUCAUCAACUCGCAUUGAUUACGUCCCUGCCCUUUGUACACACCGCCCGUCGCACCUACCGAUUGAAUGGUCCGGUGAAGCGUUCGGACCGUGGCCUUUGGACGGUUCGCCGUCUGUUGGCUGCGGGAAGUUCGUUAAACCUUAUCAUUUAGAGGAAGGAGAAGUCGUANCA